rnacentral:rRNA from 1 species
UGACUGUAGGUGAAAGCUUACAUCUCUUCGGAGCAUUUUACGAGGUGCUGCAUGGUUGUCGUCAGCUCGUGCCGUGAGGUGUCGGGUUAAGUCCCAUAACGAGCGCAACCCCUACCUUUAGUUGCCAUCAGGUUAAGCUGGGGACUCUAAAGGAACUGCCUACGCAAGUAGUGAGGAAGGCGGGGAUGACGUCAAAUCAGCACGGCCCUUACGUCCAGGGCUACACACGUGCUACAAUGGCCGAUACAGAGGGCAGCUACCUGGUGACAGGAUGCAAAUCUCCAAAGUCGGUCUCGGUUCAGAUCGGAGUCUGCAACCCGACUCCGUGAAGUUGGAUUCGCUAGUAAUCGCGCAUCAGCCAUGGCGCGGUGAAUACGUUCCCGGGCCUU